rnacentral:lncRNA from 1 species
UGUUGAUCAGAUAAUGCUCAAACGCAAGAGCUCUGGCUCAUACGAGGCGCAAGGAAAACCUGGCCAAAAGGGCAAAAGUUUCAGUUUUAAAACCUUCUUUUUAAGAGAAAACCUCAAAAGAUGGGGGGAAAUCAGAACAGCACGCUUUUUUUAAAUUUUUUAGUUCAAAAUAUUGUAUUUGACCUUUUGGUGGAGUGAGGAAUUUUCCAGGAAGGAAAUAUCAUUGAGACUUUUACUUUCCCUAACUUUUGCUCCGUUGAACUUUUCACGCCCCUGUAAUUGAUUUCUUUUGACACUACUACUGUCAAUUAUUUCCAUAUUGUUAGUAUUUCACGAAACUUAAACAUGUGCCUUUGUUAAAUCCUAUUAAACUUGCUUCAUAUUUAAUUAGAGUAACUAAUACUUAAACUUACUUAUUGCUAGUGAAAUUUUGUAAUGUUAUACCCUUAAAUUCUCAGUAUUCUUUUCCUUCAAUCGUUCAAAUUUUAAUAUGGAUAAUAUGCUGAAACUUUUUCCUUUGUCCUUUAAUUUAUUUUUAUCUUCAUUCACUGUAAAGUAAUCUCCAUUUUCUGUUUAUAGGUAAAGGGAGAAGCAUUUCUAAGUGUUAUUUCCUUCAGUUCUGUGGUGAUAAUGGAAGACAUAGCUGGCUCCCUGCGAAAAUUUAUUAGAAUUUAUCAACAAGCAGCAGUUCUUCGAUUUGCAGUCGAAAGUGCUCCAAGACCCUCGAAAGAAAGCAACAUUUGCGGUAAAAUUCACACUAAAAUCUCACUCCAAAGACAGUUGGGAGAAUGCCGUCACGGAAGCUGAACAUUUGAUGUCCUUAGGAAGCGCUGACAGAGUACUGCACUUCCAACUACUGUACCCCAUGGAGGUCCAAAGAACAAAGAAAGAUCUAAUUAAACUGCUCAUGGAAGAAGAAGUUCCAUCUAGUAAUCAGAAAUCGCAGCCUAAAACCUCCGCAGCUUCUCCUGAACCAUCUGAUUCGUUAUCAGCACCUAAGAAGCAAGAGAAUAAAGUCAAGAGAGCUGACCGGAAAAAGAAAUUCCUUUGAAUACAAAUCUAUUCAAAAGAAGCAAGAACUUGGGUCUAAUGAGGAUAGCUCUGAAGCAGAGGUAAAACUCUAAUUUGCUACUUCUUUAUCAAAUAAUUCAACUUUGGUAUGUUUGUUUAUCUCCGUAGCAUUUUCCAAGCACGAAAACCAAUAUUUGGGGUGUCUAGCGACCAUGGAAGUAGGAAAAGUCAAGGAGCCCUGCCUUCUGCAGCGCUCU